UUUCAAAGGGGGAAAGUGAUCGUGGCCUUCCCUGAUAGGAGGCUUUGCGUGGUCUGUCUGGGGGAGUGUCCCUGAGCCCUGCUGGGCCCCUUCCAACCACCAGCAAGCCAGCUGCCUGUCUCUGCCUUCACAGGUUUUCUGAAGUUGGUGGGUGCUGGACGCUUCUGAAGAGGAGUUUUAAUUGGCAGAGGCUGCCGUCUCCCUGGCAGGGAGACAUUCUGGAGGCCUGGGGGCGGGUUGUUUUUUCUUCACUCCAUUAAUACCAGUGACCUUUUUGCCUCCAGCGUUAAUUAAAUACAGACAUUUCAGGCAUCUGCAUGGUCAUGGUCUGGCAUUAUCUUGACCUUAGGCGACUUGGAAAUUCCAUAUUUGGCCUUCACUAAACGAGGCAUAGAAGAGCAAUCAUGGACGAUCUGGAAAUGGAGGGCUUAGAGCCACACCUUGUGGCCACCCAGAGGGGGGCCUGUGUUGCUGCGGAGGUGGGGAGACAGCAGAGCUCUCUGGCUUGACCACCAUGGAUGAAGCUGGGCUCAGCUCUGGGCUGGGGGAGGCAGGAAGGACCUCACGCUCCUGGGACCCAGUUGCGUUCAAGGAGACACAGCCCAGCCAUCUGGGUAACAGGUGAUGAAUGGGAGUCUCUUGCUGCUGCUCAAAGGAGCGGCUUUCUUCCCGAGUGUCAGCUCAUUUUCCCGCGUCCUUCAGCAAUAACCAGCAUGUGCCGAUAGGCUCCCGAGUCGCUUCCUAGUGCUGCGUUCUCACAAGCCCAACAUCUGUUUCGGUUGGGAUUUUUUUUUUUGAGAUGGAGNNNNNNNNNNNNNNNNNNNNNNNNNNNNNGAUUUUGCUUUUAUGAAGGCCGGGGAGGGAGGGCUCGCCCCUGGUAGGCGGCCGUGCGGGGCAGGUCCCUUGCCGCCUGAGGACCCCAGAGUUGUCGCUAGGGCCUCCUCCUCCACGCUGCCCCACCGUGGCGCUGCCCGACUGUGGGACCGAGGACCAGCUGAGGACCAGCUUCUGCAAUGGCCUCUGAGCUGAAGCCUGGCCCGGAUUCGCCCCUCCUCUUGCAUCUCUGGCCUGUGAGUCCUCUCCUCCCUCUAGCCCUGCAGCUCAGCCUGCCCUGCCCUCCCGAGCUCCUUGUGCCCCUGUGUCCCUGUUGGAGCCGAAGGACAGUUGUCUCUGCUGGACUCUGACGCCCGAUUCAGGCACGGAGACCCAGGAGGGACAGCCAGGCAGGUUAGGUGCUCGGCUGCCCUUUGGUCGAGCCCUGCAUGGGGCCCAGGGAUUGAUGCAGAUUGAUUUUUGCUGACCCCUGGGAUGACCUUGGCCAAGUGACUUAAUUCUGUCUCCUCCCCAGUGUGCUUAUAGACAGAGGUGUAUGCACUGGUAGGGGUGCCCUAA
rnacentral:lncRNA from 1 species